rnacentral:tRNA from 1 species
GAAGGUGUAGUUCAGUGGUAGAAUGCUUGCCUAGCAUGCAUGAGGCCCUGAGCACCAUCC